CAUCCUCCACGUUAGCAAAAUAUCCCCGCUUCUACUCAUUUCUCCUCCUGCGAAAGCUUCGGGCCGGCGAAGGAAGCACUUGCCUUCUCCUCCUCCGAUCCCGUCCCCUUCUCGCUACCAGAUCUGUUUCCUUGCAAGGCUCGUCGCUCUGCUGCACUGAACAUCCCCUGUCAUUCUCAGCUGCGAAAUCACUUCUUUUCUAGGGUUUUCCCAAGCAUUCGUUCGUCAGGGGAAACGGGGACGCCGGAGACCAACUGGGAGAGGCUGGUCAGGGAAGCGUUGUGCCGGGAGCGGUUGAGCGUCGUUAGCGAGCAGCAGCCCAUCAGUGGCGGUGCAGGAAAUGCCCCAUCCUCCCAGACAAACAAUACCCAUAUCAAAGAGAGGACGAGCAGCAGAUGAGAUUGAUGAUGAGUCCAUAACACUGCGAGAAUUUGUAAGUUCUAUCUUUUUGAUCUUGGUGUUUGUGAUUGUGCGGUCUCCUUACUGCUGAUUAGUACGUUAGUUGCAAGGCCCAACAGUUUAUUUGGAAUCGUUUACUUGUUUAUACUUCCCAUUUCACAUUUGAUUCUCUAAUUUAUUGAAGUUUCUUGAACUCGUUCUGAGAUCUUUUAAAA